rnacentral:lncRNA from 1 species
UCUUAGAAUACAUUUUCUGUGUAAGAUAACAGUUAAAAUGAAAUGAAUUAAAAUUAGACAAACUACCAAGUUUUCUAAUGAUCAUUUCAACCACUUUAUGUUACCAUCAUUGAAUUUAAAAUGGUUUUUGUUCAGUUAUACAGCAGCUGUUAAAAAUGUCAUAGAAAGUUAGAAAUGUCCAUAAUUUAACCUUUAAUAACUUCCCUUUAAUAUUUCUCAGCUUUCAUGAAGCUUCAUCGCACUAGUAGAAAAAAAGCAUUUAGGGGAAAAUAUUUGUCUUAUAUUGAUGCCAUCUGUACUAGGUUAGAUUAAGGACUACAGUAUCUGAAGGUUUUAGGAGUUUUUCUAUAUGACUUUCAGUUAGUUUUACUGGUAAGAAAGCUAAAAUAUAAAGUAAAAAGUUAACUUACAAGCUAGGGAGGGAAGAGUUGUCAUUUAAAAUCUUGGUCCUUUGCCAAUGCCCCUUUUUUCGCAGCCCACUGUGCUGUGCCUGUUUGUUGCAGAUCAGGUUUCUGUGCUAGAAGAGACCCUAGAGAUAAUUUGGCUCUUCUCUCUGCCAUACACACACAUUGCAUCCUCAGGACACUGAGGCUCAAAGGAGGAUGUGAAAUAAGGCCCAUGACUAAGAAGCAGGGCCAUAAUCAAACCUUGUCUCUAGUCACGUGCAUAUUGAUGCCUCAUUGCCUCUGGUUAUCCAUACUUUAGUAAAUGUGAUAUGAAACACUUCCAUUUCUGCUAUUUCUUUAUGUUUCUGGUCUAGUAGCUGGUGAACACAUUAAGAAAAGUAUUAAUUCC